rnacentral:rRNA from 1 species
UGAGUAACACGUGGACAAUCUGCCCCCCGGCCCGGGAUAGCCCAGGGAAACCUGGAUUAAUACCGGAUGAGACGGGACCCGCGAAGGCGGGACCCGGGAAGGCGCUGCGGCGCCGGCGGGGGAUGAGUCUGCGUCCCAUUAGCUAGACGCGGGGUAACGGCCCACCGUGGCGACGAUGGGUAGCCGGCCUGAGAGGGUGGACGGCCACAUUGGAACUGAGACACGGUCCAGACUCCUACGGGAGGCAGCAGCUAAGAAUCUUCCGCAAUGGGCGAAAGCCUGACGGAGCGAACCGCCGCGUGAACGAAGAAGGCCGUGAGGUUGUAAAGUUCUUUUCGGGAGGGGGAACAACCGUGGCAGGGAAUGGCCGCGGGAUGACGUGAAUCCCGGAAUAAGCCCCGGCUAACUACGUGCCAGCCGCCGC